rnacentral:tRNA from 9 species
GGACCCGUAGCUCAGUUGGUUAGAGCGCUCGGCUCAUAACCGAGUGGUCAUCGGUUCAAAUCCGGUCGGGUCCACCA